UACGGAGGGUGCGAGCGUUAAUCGGAAUAACUGGGCGUAAAGGGCACGCAGGCGGGCUGUUAAGUGGGAUGUGAAAUCCCCGGGCUUAACCUGGGAACAGCAUUUCAGACUGGGAGGCUAGAGUACUUUAGGGAGGGGUAGAAUUCCACGUGUAGCGGUGAAAUGCGUAGAGAUGUGGAGGAAUACCGGUGGCGAAGGCAGCCCCUUGGGAAAAUACUGACGCUCAUGUGCGAAAGCGUGGGGAGCAAACAGG
rnacentral:rRNA from 1 species